rnacentral:misc_RNA from 1 species
UCACAGAUGCCAUGACAAGAAGUGUACCUAUUAACAUCCAAGUCCUCUCACUGCCGAUACAUUUAACAAUAGCCUGUAGGGGGUUUAGCUGUUUAGGAGCUCCACAAAUUUCAGGCAGCAAUUUUGGAUGAUCCCAGUUCUUGACCUGCACAAUUUGUGCACCAUUAGGAAUGGUGCUCUAGGAUUUCAGCUUGUAAUUU